rnacentral:rRNA from 1 species
UACGUAGGGGGCUAGCGUUGUCCGGAAUCAUUGGGCGUAAAGCGCGUGUAGGCGGUUCGGUAAGUCCGCUGUGAAAGUCGGGGGCUCAACCCUCGAAUGCCGGUGGAUACUGUCGGACUAGAGUACGGAAGAGGCGAGUGGAAUUCCUGGUGUAGCGGUGAAAUGCGCAGAUAUCAGGAGGAACACCAAUUGCGAAGGCAGCUCGCUGGGACGUUACUGACGCUGAGACGCGAAAGCGUGGUGAGCAAACAGG